AGGGCUAGGCCACCAAAGAGCCACCAGCUUGUUCUCAUUCCCAAACAGGAACUUGUUCCCCGGAGGACCACAUAAAACAGCGAUGUUUUCACCGAGUAACGAUGUCCUGAAGAUUCGAGAGUUGUGUUUGUCCAUUCGCUCUUGGACGAAACUCUCUGGCCUUCCCUUCCGGUGUGCUUGAAGAAACGCUGAUGUUUCGCCUAGGAGAGGCCAUCCAGUGCUCCCUGGGGGAAGGUUUGAACACCUUCUGGGUUUAGUGUUGACAUACAUAAAGACCAAGAGGAGCAGCGCUAGAACUGCAGCACAUGCUAUGAGUAAGACCAUCAGCACGUCCACUGCUUUACUACUUGGGACUCUCUUCGUGGUGUUCUGCACACUUUCGUUUUCAAGAUGCAGGGUCGGCUGGCCAGGGUUGUGCGGCCCGUAUACGGGACUUCAUCUGGUUGGCCCUCCAGAUAAGUCAAUAUACUCUACACUACCUCAGUCCGGCCAAACUGCAUCCUCUCCUAAGCUCGGGACUAGCUACUAUCUCGUCAAAUCGACCCCCUCCACCUAGUGAAUUGGGGAGCUGCAUACUCUCCGAGCACGGUUGACGCUACCCACACACUAUCUGAGAUAUGUGGUUGCACUCUAUCUGUAUCUAGCAACGAUACCGUGCUCUGUAAUCUUUAUCUGUAUCUGUCUGUAAUCUUUUCUCAGGGAUCUGAUACUAUAUAUAUAUACAUAUAUACUCUUUUAAUGUUUUCAUUAUGUUUCCAAAAUUACCAUAACUUUAUCUUUUUGUACUGUAAAUACUAUAAUCUCUGUAUACUGUAUCUGUAGCAUCUUGAUGCUACCUCUGUAUCUUUGUCUGUAUACUCUAUCUAUAUACUCUAUAUGUUAUGGUGAUAGGAAACAUGACAUGCUAUAACUCUGUAUAUACUAUUCUGUAUAAAAUUGUAAUAUAAAUACUGAUCUGAGUAAAAC